UCCGCUGCUCCCGACUGGUCACACAGCAGGACCUUUGCCAGUAGAACAGUACGGUCAGCCUGUCCCUGUACACAGGGCUACUGUGAAGUCGCCUGUGCCUUGAGGCUGAGGGAGGCACAGCCCAGCUCAGAGUUCAGAAAGGCCGUGAGCAAUUAACCACAGCGCUACUUGAAAUCAGAGGAAGUCCCUGCUGCCAAGUCGAAACUCAGUCAGCAGAGAGCUCACCACAGCGUCUGUCAGGCAGACCACUGUCCUGCGGGGAGAGACCCUCAGUGCUCUCAGGUUGGAACAACUAAUGCCCAAGGUGGUGUGCAGAUCAUCCCCCAGCAGACCCAUAAAAACCAGCUCCCCACUCUUCGGGCCAGUUAAGGCUCCACCACUCGCUCACCAGGCCUUGCUGCUGCAGGCUUUCAAGGCACCGUCCACAGAAUCCUGCCAGCGGACACAGCGCACUGUUUAAGACACGCCCUUGGGACUGCCACUUUCAGAAUCGUGCAGAGGCAAAAGCACUUAACUCUUUUAAUCAAAGAUCUCACUACCAUUUUAGUUACGUAUCAACCCGUGGCUACCUGUUAAGUUCUGUCUCUAUUUCUCUUUGUAUAUAAAAACUCUAAAAUGGGAUUAGUCAGAAAAAAAAUAUUUUGGUAUAUUGUUUCCCUUGAAUGUGCACUAACUUCAGAUAGCUGGAAUUUUGUAAAAGGAAAUAAAAUAUUUCUCCCAUUAUAAA
rnacentral:lncRNA from 1 species